rnacentral:rRNA from 1 species
UACGUAGGGGGGCAAGCGUUGUCCGGAUUUAUUGGGCGUAAAGAGCGUGUAGGCGGCUUGGUAGGUCCGCUGUGAAAAACUCGAGGCUCAACCUCGAGAUGUCGGCGGAAACCACUUGGCUAGAGUCCGGAAGAGGAGAGUGGAAUUCCCGGGUGUAGCGGUGAAAUGCGCAGAUAUCGGGAAGAACACCUAUGGCGAAGGCAGCUCUCUGGGGACGGUACUGACGCUGAGACGCGAAAGCGUGGGGAGCGAACAGG